rnacentral:lncRNA from 1 species
GUGUAAGUUGCUGGUCUUAGCGUCUAGUUCCUUUAGAGUUUCGAGUUCUGUUCACAUUAGUCACGCCGCCGCUGCAUCAUUAUCCCUUCCGCUGUCCACCAUCCCAUCUAUUAAUUUCCACCACGUGCUACGCACUGUUCAUUGUCAUAAUCAUAGUUGAGGUCAGUCACAUCUUCGCCUGAUCCAAUCUGCAUCUUAUCUAGUUUGUCUUGAAAAAAAAAAAGAUAGAGAAAAAAAAGAGAAAAAAGGAAAAAAAAGAGAGAGAAGAAAAAGAAAAAAAAAGUGUAAGAAAAAAAAGAGAGAAGAAAAAAAAUUGGAUCUAUCUAGAAUCAAUCUCGUACCUGAAUUCGGAUUGGAAUCUGUUUUGCGCACUGUUCAGUAAAACAGGUGUAUCUUCCUCAUAUGGAGUCCGUUUUGGCUCCGUGAGUACUCAAAUUGAAGCUAGCGACGAGACGCAUCUAAAUAGUUGCAGAAGCUAGUUCAAUAUUUGACACCUCAAAAUCGGCUUCUAAAUAGUUCUUUUUGCCCUCCGAAGUUCAUGAACACAGCUUGUUCCAAUUUUUCAGGCCAGUUUUAGAAUUCUUUGACUCCUCAUAUCAACUCGGAAUUGAGUGAUUCUUUUUGCAUUGGAAAGCUUGAGUUAAUAGCAUUCUUUGAAAGAAUUUAUCAGAAAAUUGUCUUAAACUUUUCAAGAGGAAAGUUGGAGAGAGAGUUGUUGUAUAUCCUGCUUGGCAGUUGUUUUUCAUCAUUAUCUUCACUACCGUUGUGAUAUUCACUUAUAUCUUGCUGUCAAGAGCUACUUAGUAUCCUUCAUUGAUGCUAGUUGUGCUACGCCGUGACCUCAUUAGUGUUCUAGGCUCGCGUCUCUAGUACGGUCUAGCCUAGGACCAGCACAGUACCGUCGUUGAGCGUUUAUUCAACAUUGCAUCUUUGAAUUGAUUAUUGCUAAUCUUUUGCUACCAUAUAUAGCCAACCCAGCUCCACAUAUUUCUACACCGUGUAUACGUACGCUCCCCUGGCAAUCGCUUUACUCAAUAUUCGGAGUUACUUGACACCGCUGGUUGCCGAUCACCGCCUGCUGCAUGGUAAAAACUUGUAAGACAUUGAUAUUUGCUUUACUGUGAGCGUUUUACCACCACAUCCUAGUAGUUAUAGGAACAUUAUUUUUGGGUUUUGUUUCUUGUUCUACUAAUCAUGACAGGAUCCAGAGUCAAUUCAUGGGCUUUGUCGAUCGCGGGAGACGUGCCACCACCUUUGCAAAUACCACAACCGUCACGAGAGGUGCAUAAACAUCCAAAUGCACACGAUCAGGUUAAUGUAUCUAUACCACCAUUUAAUGGCCGUUUUAAACCUGCUUUAUAUAUUGAAUGGGAGUUCGACAUAAAAAAUAUAUUUGCUUCCCAUAAUUUCAAUGAACAUAAAAAGGUUAAGGUUGCGGUUGGUUCUUUCACUGGUUAUGCUUUGGUUUGGUGGAGUGAAUAUUGUCGGUUACACCCUGAUUAUAUACCUACUACUUGGGAUGAUUUGAAACUUGCCAUGCGACAUACUUUCGUCCCUGCUUAUUAUACUCGUGACAUGAUUAAGAAGUUGCAACACUUAAAACAAGGUAGUGAAACUGUAACAAAAUAUUAUGAUGAUUUACAAACUACCUUGUUGCAUUCCUCUUUAGAAGAAAGUGAAGAUGAUUUUAUGGAUAGAUUUUGGGGAGGAUUAAACCGUGAUAUUCAAGAGAUACUAAUCCAUGAAGAGUGUUAUCCUAUGGACCAUUUGUUUCAUCUUGCUUGCAAAGCUGAACAGGAAAUAAAACGACGUGUUGGCCACGAGGAGAACAAGCGCACGGUGCACAUUCCAAGAGUUGAUAUGAUUGUUCCUUCAACUACUAGGCAUACUAUGACAACCACAUCCGUUGUUGUCAGGACUACAUCGCCUCCACCAUGUGACACAUCGCCCCCGAGAGUGGCUACAUCAUCUGAGUUGAUCAUAAGAGGUAAUGACAAAGGUACUGAUCUUCCAUCUCUACAUGAGAAUGAUGAAUGCCUUGUCAAUUUGAAUGCACCAUCUGAUGAGCUACCCACUACUUUGAUCACACCACCUAUUUUAGAGGACUACGUUGAUAAUUUGACUUUGCCAUGUGAUCAAACAACUGAAAUACAAACAAUUUUGAGUGCACCCAUUGAAUUAACUAUUGAUGCAAAAGAACCAAUGUUUAAUCAUUUUGAUAUGACCUCUAAUCUUGGUGAUGAUUCUAUGUUGAAUGACUUAUUGCAUGUUUGCUUAUUUAAGCAUGUUGUAGCAUGUAAAUUUGAUGCAAGUAAGGUUUAUUCACCAAUGUUGGGAUGGUUUAAUGAUGAACAUUGUCAAUCUUUUGAAAUGAAUAAGAGCUUCACUUAUAUGUGCAAACUGAGUUGCAAUAUUUCCAUGCCUUCUACUUCUUGUGCUAAUUUUUUGGCUUUAGAUUUUAUGAACUAUGCAAGUUACUCAUCUAUUCAUGUGUCAUAUAUGCAAAAAUCAAGGGAAGUAAAAAUGGAUGACAUAUACAUAUACAACAUGUACACCUUGUCUCUUUUGUUAGCCACAUUUCAGAUUAAGCAACGCCGAGGACGGCUUUAUUUUCAAGAAGUGGAGGAUGAUGAGGACAUGACUACCUUGGAUAUGACCAAAAAUAUUGCAUAUAUGCAUAUUUGUCAGGUGAUUUCUAGUGCAAACUAUUCAAUAAUCUAUUUAUGUUAUCCAGAACAAAAAUACUUCACACACUUUUGUGUUUUGUCUAAUUGCAGGUGUAUGGGACAUUUGUACAAUCCACAUAUGAAGAUAAGGAAGAAAGAGAUGUUUAUUUGCUGUCCAAAAAGUUCUCUCACGUCACUUUUGGCCCAAGAGAAGAUAGAGUCCAAGUCUCUCACGUUCUGGAUUCAGAUUCGGACUGCACAGACAUACCUGACUCAAAACGCACACAAGUUUUUCAUACGGACUCCGAAUUGGGUGAUUCUUUUUUUGUUGGAAACUAGAUUUCGUGCACUUUCCAACCCAAUUGGAAGCACCUUCAAAUUCGUCCGGAGCGUUGAGUUGUGGACGAAACAAUCUGAUGCUGCAGCAGAAUCCGAGUCAAACUACAAGUCCAAAGGUGUUACAUCACCUCCACUUGGGCCCAUUGGCCUUGUACGACCUAGAUUUAGUUUUAGGCUGCCUUGGGACGUCCUCCCACCUCCUUGGCCGCCACCCCUUGCUCCUAUAUAAGUAGAUCCAUCUAGUAGCUUUUCCUUGGGAUUUGUUUAGUUAAAAGUUAGCCAUUGCAACUUCGUGUGCUUCGUUUGUGUCCAACGACCAGACCAAGACCGCUUCUGGAUCACCACCUUUGCAAAUACCACAACCAUCACGAGAGGUGCACAAACAUCCAAAUGCACAUGAUCAGGUUAAUGUAUCUAUACCACCAUUUAAUGGCCGUUUUAAACCUGCUUUAUAUAUUGAAUGGGAGUUCGACAUAAAAAAUAUAUUUGCUUCCCAUAAUUUCGAUGAACAUAAAAAGGUUAAGGUUGCGGUUGGUUCUUUCACUGGUUAUGCUUUGGUUUGGUGGAGUGAAUAUUGUCGGUUACACCCUGAUUAUAUACCUACUACUUGGGAUGAUUUGAAACUUGCCAUGCGACAUACUUUCGUCCCUGCUUAUUAUACUCGUGACAUGAUUAAGAAGUUGCAACACUUAAAACAAGGUAGUGAAACUGUAACAAAAUAUUAUGAUGAUUUACAAACUACCUUGUUGCAUUCCUCUUUAGAAGAAAGUGAAGAUGAUUUUAUGGGUAGAUUUUGGGGAGGAUUAAACCGUGAUAUUCAAGAGAUACUAAUUCAUGAAGAGUGUUAUCCUAUGGACCAUUUGUUUCAUCUUGCUUGCAAAGCUGAACAGGAAAUAAAACGACGUGUUGGCCACGAGGAGAACAAGCGCACGGUGCACAUUCCAAGAGUUGAUAUGAUUGUUCCUUCAACUACUAGGCAUACUAUGACAACCACAUCCGUUGUUGUCAGGACUACAUCACCUCCACCAUGUGACACAUCGCCCCCGAGAGUGGCUACAUCAUCUGAGUUGAUCAUAAGAGGUAAUGACAAAGGUACUGAUCUUCCAUCUCUACAUGAGAAUGAUGAAUGCCUUGUCAAUUUGAAUGCACCAUCUGAUGAGCUACCCACUACUUUGAUCACACCACCUAUUUUAGAGGACUACGUUGAUAAUUUGACUUUUCCAUGUGAUCAAACAACUGAAAUACCAACAAUUUUGAGUGCACCCAUUGAAUUAACUAUUGAUGCAAAAGAACCAAUGUUUAAUCAUUUUGAUAUGACCUCUAAUCUUGGUGAUGAUUCUGUGUUGAAUGACUUAUUGCAUGUUUGCGUAUUUAAGCAUGUUGCAGCAUGUAAAUUUGAUGCAAGUAAGGUUUAUUCACCAAUGUUGGGAUGGUUUAAUGAUGAACAUUGUCAAUCUUUUGAAAUGAAUAAGAGCUUCACUUAUAUGUGCAAACUGAGUUGCAAUAUUUUCUUGCCUUCUACUUCUUGUGCUAAUUUUUUGGCUUUAGAUUUUAUGAACUAUGCAAGUUACUCAUCUAUUCAUGUGUUAUAUAUGCAAAAAUCAAGGGAAGUAAAAAUGGAUGACAUAUACAUAUACAACAUGUACACCUUGUCUCUUUUGUUAGCCACAUUUCAGAUUAAGCAACGCCGAGGACGGCUUUAUUUUCAAGAAGGGGAGGAGAUGAUGAGGACAUGACUACCUUGGAUAUGACCAAAAAUAUUGCAUAUAUGCAUAUUUGUCAGGUGAUUUCUAGUGCAAACUAUUCAAUAAUCUAUUUAUGUUAUUCAGAACAAAAAUACUUCACACACUUUUGUGUUUUGUCUAAUUGCAGGUGUAUGGGACAUUUGUACAAUCCACAUAUGAAGAUAAGGAAGAAAGAGAUGUUUAUUUGCUGUCCAAAAAGUUCUCUCACGUCACUUUUGGCUCAAGAGAAGAUAGAGUCCAAGUCUCUCACGUUCUGGAUUCAGAUUCGUACUGCACAGACAUACCUGACUCAAAACGCACACAAGUUUUUCAUACGGACUCCGAAUUGGGUGAUUCUUUUUUUGUUGGAAACUAGAUUUCGUGCACUCUCCAACCCAAUUGGAAUCACCUUCAAAUUCUUCCGGAGCGUUGAGUUGUGGACGAAACAAUCUGAUGCUGCAGCAGAAUCCGAAUCAAACUACAAGUCCAAAGGUGUUACAUCACCUCCACUUGGGCCCAUUGGCCUUGUACGACCUAGAUUUAGUUUUAGGCUGCCUUGGGACGUCCUCCCACCUCCUUGGCCGCCACCCCUUGCUCCUAUAUAAGUAGAUCCAUCUAGUAGCUUUUCCUUGGGAUUUGUUUAGUUAAAAGUUAGCCAACGCAACUUCGUGUACUUUGUUUGUGUCCAACGACCAGACCAAGACCGCUUACGGAUCCCCACCAUUAUCAAUACCUCAUAUAUAUUUGCAAUAUUCAGAUUGCUUUAUCAUAUUCUUGCUCGUUCUUCGAUUGCUUGCAGGAAUAGACCUUCGUGGUCAGGCUGACCGUACUUCCGGCAUCGUCAGUAACCUCAGGAGAUUGGUUUAGCGAUUGCUAAGGCGCAACGUCGUGCACGUUUGUAGUCGGAUCGUCAAAGUCGUCUCCACCAAAUCGAUAGUUAUCAUCUCAUCAAAAGAUCGGGACCCUCGCCUCUAUCAAGAAUGGUCUGAAUCUCUCUAUUUAAUCCACCCAGAAAACGUGCAAGCAUAGCUUCAUUCUCCUCAACAAUACCACAUCUAAUCAUGCCAGUUUGUAAUUCCUGAUAAUAUUCUUCUACAGAAUUUUUCCCUUGUCUUAAACGCUGCAAUUUUUGAAGCAAUUCACGUUGAUAAUAUGGUGGAACCCAACGCGUACGCAUAGCAGUUUUCAAAGCAGCCCAAGUAGUUGGAGUAGGAUAUAAUCUACAAUGUUCAGACCACCAUACACAUGCAAAACUAGUGAAAGCACAAACAGCAGCAGCAACUCGUCUCUCCUCAGGAUAUUGUAAACAUGUAAAUCGUUGUUCAGUUUCUAACUCCCAAGUAAGAUAUAUAUCAGGAACAUAUCUACCCUCAAAUGGUGGAAUAUUCAAUUUCAGUUUAGGAAUAUGGACAUCAUCUCGUACCUGAGGUGGUGGUGCAGGCCUACCAUUACGAAUAUAUACCUGAGGUCGACCUGCUGGUGGUUGAUAGAGGCGGGGUGUCCCGAUCUUUCGAUGAGAUGAUAACUAUCGAUUUGGUGGAGACGACUUUGACGAUCCGACUACAAACGUGCACGACAUUGCGCCUUAGCAAUAGCUAAACCAACUCCGAGAGGUUAUUGACCACGCCGGAGCACAAUUAACCUGACCACGAAGGUCUAUUCCUGCAAGCAAUCGAAGAACAAGCAAGAAUAUGAUAAAAGAAAUCUGAAUAUUGCGAGUAUAUAUGAAGUAUUGAUAAAGGUGGGGAUCCGUAAGCGGUCUUGCUAUGGUCGUUGGACACAAACGAAGUACACGAAGUUGCAAUGGCUAACUUUUAACUAAACAAAUCCCAAGAAAAAAAGCUACUAGAUGGAUCUACUUAUAUAGGAGCAAGGGGUGGCGGCCAAGGAGGUGGGAGGACGUCCCAAGGCAGCCUAAAACUAAAUCUAGGUCGUACAAGGCCAAUGGGCCCAAGUGGAGGUGAUGUAACACCUUUGGACUUGUAGUUUGACUCGGAUUUUGCUGCAGCAUCAGAUUGUUUCGUCCACAACUCAACGCUCCGGACGAAUUUGAAGGUGAUUCCAAUUGGGUUGGAAAGUGCACGAAAUGUAGUUUCCAACAAAAAAAGAAUCACCCAAUUCGGAGUCCGUAUGAAAAACUUGUGUGCGUUUUGAGUCAGGUAUGUCUGUGCAGUCCGAAUCUGAAUCCAGAACGUGAGAGACUUGGACUCUAUCUUCUCUUGGGCCAAAAGUGACGUGAGAGAACUUUUUGGACAGCAAAUAAACAUCUCUUUCUUCCUUAUCUUCAUAUGUGGAUUGUACAAAUGUCCCAUACACCUGCAAUUAGACAAAACACAAAAGUGUGUGAAGUAUUUUUGUUCUGGAUAACAUAAAUAGAUUAUUGAAUAGUUUGCACUAGAAAUCACCUGACAAAUAUGCAUAUAUGCAAUAUUUUUGGUCAUAUCCAAGGUAGUCAUGUCCUCAUCAUCCUCCACUUCUUGAAAAUAAAGCCGUCCUCGGCGUUGCUUAAUCUGAAAUGUGGCUAACAAAAGAGACAAGGUGUACAUGUUGUAUAUGUAUAUGUCAUCCAUUUUUACUUCCCUUGAUUUUUGCAUAUAUGACACAUGAAUAGAUGAGUAACUUGCAUAGUUCAUAAAAUCUAAAGCCAAAAAAUUAGCACAAGAAGUAGAAGGCAUGGAAAUAUUGCAACUCAGUUUGCACAUAUAAGUGAAGCUCUUAUUCAUUUCAAAAGAUUGACAAUGUUCAUCAUUAAACCAUCCCAACAUUGGUGAAUAAACCUUACUUGCAUCAAAUUUACAUGCUACAACAUGCUUAAAUAAGCAAACAUGCAAUAAGUCAUUCAACAUAGAAUCAUCACCAAGAUUAGAGGUCAUAUCAAAAUGAUUAAACAUUGGUUCUUUUGCAUCAAUAGUUAAUUCAAUGGGUGCACUCAAAAUUGUUUGUAUUUCAGUUGUUUGAUCACAUGGCAAAGUCAAAUUAUCAACGUAGUCCUCUAAAAUAGGUGGUGUGAUCAAAGUAGUGGGUAGCUCAUCAGAUGGUGCAUUCAAAUUGACAAGGCAUUCAUCAUUCUCAUGUAGAGAUGGAAGAUCAGUACCUUUGUCAUUACCUCUUAUGAUCAACUCAGAUGAUGUAGCCACUCUCGGGGGCGAUGUGUCACAUGGUGGAGGCGAUGUAGUCCUGACAACAACGGAUGUGGUUGUCAUAGUAUGCCUAGUAGUUGAAGGAACAAUCAUAUCAACUCUUGGAAUGUGCACCGUGCGCUUGUUCUCCUCGUGGCCAACACGUCGUUUUAUUUCCUGUUCAGCUUUGCAAGCAAGAUGAAACAAAUGGUCCAUAGGAUAACACUCUUCAUGGAUUAGUAUCUCUUGAAUAUCACGGUUUAAUCCUCCCCAAAAUCUAUCCAUAAAAUCAUCUUCACUUUCUUCUAAAGAGGAAUGCAACAAGGUAGUUUGUAAAUCAUCAUAAUAUUUUGUUACAGUUUCACUACCUUGUUUUAAGUGUUGCAACUUCUUAAUCAUGUCACGAGUAUAAUAAGCAGGGACGAAAGUAUGUCGCAUGGCAAGUUUCAAAUCAUCCCAAGUAGUAGGUAUAUAAUCAGGGUGUAACCGACAAUAUUCACUCCACCAAACCAAAGCAUAACCAGUGAAAGAACCAACCGCAACCUUAACCUUUUUAUGUUCAUGGAAAUUAUGGGAAGCAAAUAUAUUUUUUAUGUCGAACUCCCAUUCAAUAUAUAAAGCAGGUUUAAAACGGCCAUUAAAUGGUGGUAUAGACACAUUAACCUGAUCAUGUGCAUUUGGAUGUUUGUGCACCUCUCGUGACGGUUGUGGCAUUUGCAAAGGUGGUGGCACGUCUCCCGCGAUCGACAAAGCCCAUGAAUUGACUCUGGAUCCUGUCAUGAUUAGUAGAACAAGAAACAAAACCCAAGAAUAAUGUUCCUAUAACUACUAGGAUGUGGUGGUAAAACGCUCACAGUAAAGCAAAUAUCAAUGUCUUACAAGUUCUUACCAUGCAGCAGGCGGUGAUCGGCAACCAGCGGUGUCAAGUAACUCCGAAUAUUGAGUAAAGCGAUUGCCAGGGGAGCGUACGUAUACACGGUGUAGAAAUAUCUGGAGCUGGGUUGGCUAUAUAUGGUAGCAAAAGAUUAGCAAUAAUCAAUUCAAAGAUGCAAUGUUGAAUAAACGCUCAACGACGGUACUGUGCUGGUCCUAGGCUAGACCAGACUAGAGAAGCGAGCCUAGAACACUAAUGAGGUCACGGCGUAGCACAACUAGCAUCAAUGAAGGAUACUAAGUAGCUCUUGACAGCAAGAUAUAAGUGAAGAUCACAACGACAGUGAAGAUAAUGAUGAAAAACAACUGCCAAGCAGGAUAUACAACAACUCUCUCUCCAACUUUCCUCUUGAAAAGUUUGAGACAAUUUUCUGAUAAAUUCAUUCAAAGAAUGCUACUAACUCAAGCUUUCCAAUGCAAAAAGAAUCACUCAAUUCCGAGUUGAUAUGAGGAGUCAAAGAAUUCUAAAACUGGCAUGAAAAAUUGGAACAAGUUGUGUUCACGAACUUCGGAGGGCAAAAAGACCUAUUUAGAAGCCGAUUUUGAGGUGUCAUAUAUUGAACUAGCUUCUGCAACUAUUUAGAUGCGGCUCGUCGCUAUCUUCAAUUUGAGUAUUCACGGAGCCAAAACUGACUUCAUAUGAGGAAGAUACACCUGUUUUACUGAACAGUGCGCAAAACAGAUUCCAAUCCGAAUUCAGGUACGAGAUUGAUUCUAGAUAGAUCCAAUUUUUUUUCUCCUCUCUUUUUUUUCUCACAUUUUUUUUCUUUUCCUUUCUUUUUUUUUCUCUGACUUUUUUUUACUUUUUUUUCUCUCGUUUUUUUCUCUAUCUUUUUUUUUCUCUCUCCCUCUUUCCAAAACAAACUAGAUAAGAUGUAGAUUGGAUCAAGCGAAGAUGGGAACGAUCUCAGCUAUGAUUAUGACAAUGAACGGUGGGUAGCACGUGGAGGAAAUUGAUGGAUGGGUGGUGGACAACGAAAGGGAUAAGGAUGCAGCGGCGACGUGACUAAUGUGAACAGAACUCGAAACUCUAAACGACCUAGACACUAAGACCAGCAACUCGACACGCCGAUGCAACCGAUAAUUCAACUAUGCAAGCAAUGAAAAGAAAAUUGCAAAGGCUCAGACUGGCUUGGACAAAGGAUGAAUAGAUCUAACUCUUUUUUGUGGAUUUUUCUUGGACAAUAGGUAAGAAAAUAAAUCUGAUCUAGGAAAACUGGAAAUUCUCACCGAGCAACCUGAAAACUGAUACCACUUGAUAGAGGCGGGGUGUCCCGAUCUUUCGAUGAGAUGAUAACUAUCGAUUUGGUGGAGACGACUUUGACGAUCCGACUACAAACAUGCACGACGUUGCGCCUUAGCAAUAGCUAAACCAACUCCGAGAGGUUAUUGACCACGCCGGAGCACAAUCAACCUGACCACGAAGGUCUAUUCCUGCAAGCAAUCGAAGAACAAGCAAGAAUAUGAUAAAGCAAUCUGAAUAUUGCGAAUAUAGAUGAAGUAUUGAUAAAGGUGGGGAUCCGAAAAGUGGUCUUGGUCUGGUCGUUGGACACAAACAAAGCACACGAAGUUGCAAUGGCUAACUUUUAACUAAACAAAUCCCAAGGAAAAGCUACUAGAUGGAUCUACUUAUAUAGGAGCAAGGGGUGGCGGCCAAGGAGGUGGGAGGACGUCCCAAGGCAGCCUAAAACAAAAUCUAGGUCGUACAAGGCCAAUGGGCCCAAGUGGAGGUGAUGUAACACCUUUGGACUUGUAGUUUGACUCGGAUUCUGCUGCAGCAUCAGAUUGUUUCGUCCACAACUCAACGCUCCGGACGAAUUUGAAGGUGAUUCCAAUUGGGUUGGAAAGUGCACGAAAUGUAGUUUCCAACAAAAAAGAAUCACCCAAUUCGGAGUCCGUAUGAAAAACUUGUGUGCGUUUUGAGUCAGGUAUGUCUGUGCAGUCCGAAUCUGAAUCCAGAACGUGAGAGACUUGGACUCUAUCUUCUCUUGGGCCAAAAGUGACGUGAGAGAACUUUUUGGACAGCAAAUAAACAUCUCUUUCUUACUUAUCUUCAUAUGUGGAUUGUACAAAUGUCCCAUACACCUGCAAUUAGACAAAACACAAAAGUGUGUGAAGUAUUUUUGUUCUGGAUAACAUAAAUAGAUUAUUGAAUAGUUUGCACUAGAAAUCACCUGACAAAUAUGCAUAUAUGCAAUAUUUUUGGUCAUAUCCAAGGUAGUCAUGUCCUCAUCAGUGGUGGUGCUGGUGGCUGCUCGUAGAUCUGAUUUUGAUCAACCUCAUCCUCAUAAUCGCCCGCAUACUCAUCAUCCUCCUGGGUACCAACAGGAGCAGUAGCAGGAGCCAAAGAAGCACCCACAGCAGUAACAGCGGCACCAGAAUUUUGUCCUAGCUCAAUAGGAACACACUGUGCUCGUCCAUACUGAUUCGGAAGGGGGCGUAGUUGUUGUUGUUGCAGAGGUGCGACAGGUGCAGCCGAUGGUGGAAGACGCGCAAGCAGUUCAUUAAAUUUAUUAUCGAGCUUUGUUUCGAACGUCUUCUCAAGGCCAGUGAUCUUCUCCAUGGCCUCUUCAAAAUUGUUCAGCACAUCUUGUACCUGUUCAGUCAUCAUUUGCUGAAACUUAUCAUGAAGCUCCUUGUUCGAUAAGUUCUCCCAGUCAAUCUCGUCGGCUUGUGAUCCUGGCAUGGUUAGCAGCAAUAGAAACACACAAGAAUAUGAUCCUACAGACUACUAAGAAGUGGUGGUGGUGUAUCACAAAUCCGUCAAGCAAAUCUCAAAUUCUUACCAGUUCUUACCCAGCAGCAGGCGGUGAUCGGCAACCGUUGUAGUCAAAAACUCUCAAAGCUUGGAUAGAGCGAUUACCAGGGAGAGUCAAACACAUGACGCAGAUGUAUGUGGAGCUGGGAAGGCUUAUAGUAUGGUAGCAAAAAGGGUCAGCAAUAAUCAAUUCAGAGAUGCAAAGUUGAAUAAACGCUCAACGACGGUACUGUGCUGGUCCUAGGCUAGACUGUGCUAGAGACGCGAGCCUAGAACACCAACAAAAUCACGGCGCGGCACGUAAACAAGGGAAAAGCACACUCUGAAUUUUUUUUUCGCUCUUUUUUUUUGCGCUCUUUUUUUUUGCGCUGCUUUUUUUUUUGCGAAAAAUCACUAUAAUGGCGAGUGUCUCAAAACUCUUCCUAGCUCAAACGGACAGGAUGGGCACGAAAUUUUUUCGACCAAUUUUUUUUUUUCGACUGCCCAGACCCAAAAACUGGAAACGGGUCAAAAAAAACUUCCUAUAAUGGCACCUGUCUCAAAACACUCAGAAACACCUAAAAAUAGGAUAGCCAGAAUUUUUUUCAAAAAAUGCGUUUUCGAAAAAUUUUGGGCCUAAACGGAGCGUGGCUACCCGACAAGAUUUUGGGCCUAAACGGAGCGUGGCUACCCGACAAAAUUUUCGAAAAAUGCGUUAGAAUUUUUUUUUUCCGAAACCUACUCCGGCAAGGAAAUACGAAUCGGAAUCUAGAUGGAUCUCGAAAACAAACCUAAUAAGCAAGGAACUCGGAUUGGUGGUGGAUAUAUGGUGGUAUAUGGCAGCGGUGGUGGUAGCGGUGGUAGUAUAUGGAUAUGGAUCGGUGGUGGUAUAUGGACACGGAUUGGUGGUGGUAUAUGGAUACGGAUUCGGAGCGGUGGCGGAUAAGCGGUGGCGGUAGAUGGCAGGGGCGAUGAUGAUGGUGCGGCGGCGGCGUGACAACUUAUGACCAGAACUCGAAACUCUAAAAGACUAGACUCUAAGACCAGCAACUAGACACGACGAUGCAACCGCAAAUUCAACAAAGCAAAAACCUAAAAAGAUUAUGCAAAGGCUCAGAUUGGUUCGGAUAUGAUGAACUAACCCUAAUUUUUUUUGUGGCUUUUUCAUGGACUGUAGGUAUGAAGAACAGACGCGAUCUAAACUACGAAAAACUGUAAAAUCUCACCGAGCAACCUGGAAAUCUGAUACCACUUGAUAGAGGCGGAGGUGUCUCGUCUUUCGAUGAGAUGAUGGAUAUCGCUUUGGUGAAAGUCGACUUUGACGAUCCGACUACGAACGUGCGAGGACGUCGCGCCUUAGCAAUCGCUAAACCAACUCCGAGAGGUUAUUGACCACGCCGGAGCACGAUCAACCUGACCACGAGGGUCUGUUUCCUGCGAGCAAAUGAAGAACAAGCAAGAAACUAAGAUUGCAAUCUGGAUAUUGCGAAUAUAAGAUGAAAGCUUUAUUGAUCAAGGUGGGGUUCUGUGACGCCUUUGUCUGGUCGUUGAACACAAACGAAGUACGCGAAGUUGCAGGUAUGGAGAACUUUUAAUCUAAACAAAACCCAAAGUCUAAACGAUGCCCUAAGGGCUGUAUAUAUGGAGGAAGAGGGGGGAAUUUCGUGGCCCUUGGUGGAGGGGUCCGAAAUCAACCCUAUCUCUUGUUUCCCCACACAUACGGACUCUAAAAAUAGCCUAUACUUAUGUAUUUCGAAAUUACAUGGGCCUGGCCCAAUAAUAAGGUGACGCAGCACCUAAAAUAGCCUCGGGACAAAAUUUAUGAAGUGGCAUCUUGUAUAUUUCGUCCAAGGCUUCAUGCACCCAUUAUGGUGGCUUCAAAGUCCUGAAAUCAUCACUUGUAACUCCGUUCUUGUUCCCCUUGCGCAUGCCAUCAUCUCCAUGCUUGUUCUUGCUCCAAUGUUCAUCCUUCUCCAAGCUAGGCCCUUCAUUUGUAAGCAAAACAAAUGUAUCCAAUUUAGGCAGCAUCAUAUUCUCAUGAACAUUAGAAUCAUUACCAAGAAACGAAAGUACCUGGUGAUUUAGUUGGCGUGCACGAGCUCUAGUAAUUGGUCCAGUAUGUAUAGCAGCAGGGGCUGUGGGUGUAACAAUUGUAUUGAUGUCCACAUCAAAACUUGUGUGUUGGAUAUGAUUGUUAUAUGGAUGCUUGUUGUAUAUAUAUGUGUUGAAUAUCUCAUAUAUGAAAUAGUGACAUGAGAUUAAGAAAAAACAAAAAAAAUUAAAAAAAUUGUUACUAAUGGCGCACUACCAUGUGGUGCGCUAUAAGUAUAGCAGAUAAUAGUGGCGCACCGUGGGCAAUACUAAUGCGCACUACGUGGUGCGCCAUUAGAAUACCAGAUUCUAACGGCGCACCGUGGUGCGCCAUUAGUAAAAAAUUCUAGUGGCGUGAUACUAAUGGCGCACUGGUAAUGCGCCAUUAGUAGGCAAAACCAGUGCGCCAUUAGUAGGCCUUUUCCUAGUAGUGAAAGUGUGCCAUUUUUGAGAAUCUAUCCACGACAAAUGCUAUCCCUCCCCUUCUUUGUUCGAGGUAAACCUAAAACAAAGUCCAUAGAUAUAUCCUCCCAAGGAACACUUGGUACAGGCAAAGGCAUAUAUAAACCAUGAGGAUUGAGUCGUGACUUAGCUUUUUGACAUGUAGUGCAGCGAGCAAUAAAACGCUCAACAUCGCGUCUCAUCUUUGGCCAAAAAAAUGUGUAGCAAGUACGUCCUCCGUCUUCUUCACGCAAAGAUGUCCCACUAAUCCUCCUCCAUGCGCCUCCUGCAACAACAAAAGACAAAUGGAGCUAGCUGGAAUGCAUAGCUUGUUAGCAUGAAACACAAAUCCAUCGUUAAUGACGAACUUGUUCCAUGUUCUCCCUUCUUUGCAAUUCUGCAAUACAUCUUUAAAUUAAGGAUCGUGCACAUAUUUAUCUUUGAUGGUCUCCAAACCAAAUAUUUUAAAGUCAAUUUGUGAAAGCAUAGUAUAACAACGAGAAAAUGCAUCAGCAAUAACAUUUUAUUUACCCUUCUUGUGUUUAAUGACAUAAGGAAAUGUCUCUAUGAAUUCAACCCAUUUAGCAUGUCUACGGUUCAGUUUGGCUUGACUUUUAAUAUGUUUCAAAGAUUCAUGAUCAGAAUGUAUAACAAAUUCCUUAGGCCAUAAAUAAUGUUGCCAUGUUUCUAAUGUCCGAACAAGAUCAUAUAAUUUUUUAUAAUAAGUAGAAUAGUUCAUACUAGGCCCACUCAAAUUUUCAGAAAAUUAUGCAACAGGUUUGCCAUCUUGUAAUAACACUCCUCCUAAUCCAAUUCCCAUAGCAUCACGUUCAAGCUAAAUAGUCUUAUUAAAAUCAGGAAGUUGUAGUAAAGGAGCAUGUGUCAACUUAUCUUUCAAUACCGUGAAGGCUUCUUCCCAUGCGGUACCUCAAACAAAAGGCACAUCCUUCUGUGUAAACUCAUUGAGAGGUGCAGCAAUGGUACUGAAAUCUCUCACAAAACGCCUAUAGAAUCCAGCGAGGCCCAGAAAACUCCUCACUUGUGUGACCGUUCUGGUCUGCAGCCAACUCUCAAUAGCUUCAAUCUUGGCUUUAUCAACUUCAAUUCCCUAUGGAGUAACAACAUAGCCAAGAAAAGAUACUCGGUCGGUGCAAAAGGUGCACUUCCCAAGGUUACCAAACAAACGUACAUCACAUAGAGCAAUAAAAACAGCACGUAAAUGUUCCAAAUAUUCCUCCAAAGAUCUGCUAUAAAUCAGUAUAUCAUCAAAAUAGACUACCACAAAUCGUCCAAUGAAAGCACGUAAAACUUCGUUCAUUAAUCUCAUGAAAGUACUAGGUGCAUUAGUUAACCAAAAAGGCAUGACUAACCACUCAUAUAAUCCAAACAUAGUUUUAAAUGUUGUUUUCCAUUCAUACCCCAAUUUCGUACGAAUUUGAUGGUAUCCACUACGCAAAUCAACUUUGGAGAAUAUUGUAGAGCCACUCAAUUCAUCAAGCAUGUCAUCUAGCCUAGGAAUUGGAUGACGAUAACGAAUAGUAAUAUUAUUAAUGCCUCUACAAUCAACACACAUACGCGAUGUACCAUCCUUUUUUGGCACUAGAAUAAUAGGAACAACACAAGGACUAAGGAACAACACAAGUUUUCAUCUAUCAAGUGGUAUCAGUUUUCAGGUUGCUCGGUGAGAUUUUACAGUUUUUCAUAGUUUAGAUCGCAUCUGUCAUUCAUACCUACAGUCCAUGAAAAAGCCAUAAAAAAGUUAUAUCUGUUCAUCAUUUAUCCAAGCCAGUCUGAGCCUUUGCAAUUUUCUAUUCAUUGCUUGCAUAGUUGAAUUAUCGGUUGCAUCGUCGUGUUAGUUGCUGGUUGAUAGAGGCAAAGGUGUCCCGUCUUUCGAUGAGAUGGUGGAUUUUGCUUUGGUGGAAGUCGACUUUGACGAUCCGACUACGAACGUGCGAGGGCGUCGCGCCUUAGCAAUCGCUAAACCAACUCCGAGAGGUUAUUGACCACGCCGGAGCACGAUCAACCUGACCACGAGGGUCUGUAUCGUGUGAGCAAACGAAGAACAAGCAAGAAACUAAGAUUGCAAUCUGGAUAUUGCGAAUAUAAGAUGAAAUCUUUAUUGAUCAAGGUGGGGUUCUGUGACGCCUUUGUCUGGUCGUUGAACACAAACGAAGUACACGAAGUUGCAGCUAUGGCAAACUUUUAAUCUAAACAAAACCCCAAGUCUAAACGAUGCCCUAAGGGCUGUAUAUAUGGAGGAAGAGGGGGGAAUUUCGUGGCCCUUGGUGGAGGAGUCCGAAAUCAACCCUAUCUCUUGUUUCCCCACACAUACGGACUCUAAAAAUAGCCUAUACUUAUGUAUUUCGAAAUUACAUGGGCCUGGCCCAAUAAUAAGGUGACGCAGCACCUAAAAUAGCCUCGGGACGAAAUUUAUGAAGUGGCAUCUUGUAUAUUUCGUCCAAGGCUUCAUGCACCCAUUAUGGUGGCUUCAAAGUCCUGAAAUCAUCACUUGUAACUCCGUUCUUGUUCCCCUUGCGCAUGCCAUCAUCUCCAUGCUUGUUCUUGCUCCAAUGUUCAUCCUUCUCCAAGCUAGGCCCUUCAUUUGUAAGCAAAACAAAUGUAUCCAAUUUAGGCAGCAUCAUAUUCUCAUGAACAUUAGAAUCGUUACCAAGAAAUGAAAGUACCUGGUAAUUUAGUUGGCGUGCACGAGCUCUAGUAAUUGGUCCAGUAUGUAUAGCAGCAGGGCUGUGGGUGUAACAAUUGUAUUGAUGUCCUCAUCACUGGUCUUAGUGUCUAGUUCCUUUAGAGUUUCGAGUUCUGUUCACAUUAGUCACGUCGCCGCUGCAUCAUUAUCCCUUCCGCUGUCCACUAUCCCAUCCAUUAAUUUCCACCACGUGCUACGCACUGUUCAUUGUCAUAAUCAUAGUUGAGGUCAUUCACAUCUUCGCCUGAUCCAAUUUGCAUCUUAUCUAGUUUGUCUUGGAAAGAGGGAGAAAAAAAA